CGCUAUGGACGAAAGUCUGACGGAGCAACGCCGCGUGAGUGAUGAAGGUUUUCGGAUCGUAAAACUCUGUUGUUAGGGAAGAACAAGUGCGAGAGUAACUGCUCGCACCUUGACGGUACCUAACCAGAAAGCCACGGCUAACUACGUGCCAGCAG
rnacentral:rRNA from 1 species